CAUUACUUACACAUUGCAGUAUAUAUAGUAACACACUUUUAUGAUUACAGUGUGACUGCUGUAAGAUUUCAGAGCCAGGAACUAUUCUGCCAUCUAUGGUUGAUCUUUGCAUCGCAUUUAAGCUACACUUGGAAAGUGGGCGUUUCAUUUCACUUGCUGAUUGGCUUCAGGCUUUUGCAGCUGUAGCAAAUCCUGCAGAAGAUUGUGAUGAUGGUGAUGAAGACAGCCCCAACUCAAAUAUUGAUCCUCAUAUACAAGCCCGAUUUACUCAAGCUGUAAAUGAACUUCAGUUACUUGGAUUUAUACGAACCACCAAAAGGAAAAUGGACCAUGUUGCAAGACUGACGUGGGGUAGCUGCUAAGAGCUGUGCUCAGUAAUCAACAGUUGGCUUUCACUUUUUAUGAGAGCAUCUACACACACUGAGAGACAGGAUGAUGUUUGUUUUCUGUAAUAGUGAAAAUAGAGGUUAAUAGGGAUGCAGUAUGUGUAUUACAAGAUGUGUUUUGGAAGGAUAACUGUUGUAGAACCUCAUGGAGAGAAAAAAAAAUUGUUUUUAUUUGUCAAAAACAUUUCUACCUAAACCUUUCAACAAUGUAAAUGAACAGAAAUAGGAGAUGCACACUUCUGUAUGAUACUAAUGUUUCCCAUUGUUUUUGUUAUCACUUAACCAGAAAUAAUAAGAAUAAAAGUUGGGAGAUAACAAUUUGUAA